UACGUAGGGUGCAAGCGUUAAUCGGAAUUACUGGGCGUAAAGCGUGCGCAGGCGGUUCGCUAAGACAGAUGUGAAAUCCCCGGGCUUAACCUGGGAACUGCAUUUGUGACUGGCGGGCUAGAGUAUGGCAGAGGGGGGUAGAAUUCCGACGUGUAGCAGUGAAAUGCGUAGAGAUGUGGAGGAACACCGAUGGCGAAGGCAGCCCCCUGGGUCAAGAUUGACGCUCAUCCGCGAAAGCGUGGGGAGCAAACAGG
rnacentral:rRNA from 1 species